rnacentral:lncRNA from 1 species
UGACAUGGCCACAGGCCGGGGAGCAAGGGCGGAGCCAGGGGAGCUCCCAGUCCCCCCGUGCCCUGGGGUCAGAUGGAGCUUUCACAGGGCAGCCUUGUGGUCUGCAGCCCAGCGCCCAUCCCUGCUCACAUGGGCGGGCAGGCUGCUGCCCGGCUACAGAUGCCAGCCUGUCCCGGUCCCCGGCCUGCAGUGGACGCCCUCAGGACAUUCAUGGGAACUGGGUGGGUACGGUGGGCUGCCCGGCCCUGGGCUGAUGGCCUGGGGGACCUUCCUAAUGAGCUGCCUCUCAGCGGGGUGGGACAGAGUUCCGGGUGGCCCCAUGACAGCAUAAUAACCCUGUGUCACUCAGCGACAGAGAGCCGAGGCCUUCAAUUCCUGCUGGGGCUCUAGGUCGUGUGCCAUCCCAGUCCUCCCAGGGCGCCAGGACCAGCGGCUGCUGUGCACGGCAGCACGGAGAACGGAGGGCCACCCUCGAGGCCACUCGGAAGAACCUGUCCUGGGAACCAGGACGCCUGGAGACGCUGCUGUCUCCGUGGCAGUUCACAGGGCACACAGCCCCAUGACGAGCCACCAGCAGGAGGAAGGAGUCACCCUGGGGACAGGCCCUGCCUGGAAUAUGAGUCCCUUCACGACUGAGGCUCCAGAUGCAGCUCGCACGGCCUCCCCCUGCCCAGACCCUGGCUGAUGUCGCCCACAACUGCAUGCCCUGCAGUAGCCCGUGCCUGCCCCAGGCUCUCGCACCCGCUGGGGCGACUGAGGCUCUGAGCUGGGCUGCAGCCCGGAGGCCGCGAGCAACAGCGUCAGCUCUCUCCCUGGGUCACAAACCGUCAGGCUCCAACAACGCCACUGGGCAGAGGCACAGCCUGGAGUCGAGGAGCGUCCCCCCAGGCGCAGCACGGUCUCACGUCCAGGGUCCUGGCAGGGUCAGAAGCCGGAGAGUCUCCACAAUAGAGCCAGCACUGAGCAGGCCUGGACAGGCUCAGGGACGGAGUCCGCAGACGGCAAGGAGAAAGGCCCGCCACCUCGCCACUGCCACCAGGCCCCAGGGAUGGAGACCACAGAGAACUCGGCAGCAACAACAGCUGGCACAGGCCUGGAUGUUAGCAUGGCUCCCAACGGCCACCUGCGCAGACCCAGCCCUGGGGAAGCAGCGGUCCCCAUCGUGGACAGACCCAAACUGGCCCUGGACCCUGAUCAGAGUCUCAGUUGCAACAGGCUGUGCCCCGCAGCCCCAGGCAGCAGGGCCAGAGAAAGGGCAGGGGCUGAAGGGUCCAAACGGAAGGCCUCCCGAGGCUGACCCAGGCUCUGUCACAUCUGGGGAAAUGACUGGCAGGUGGCAAGAGCACCUGCGCACCGUGGGUCCUACUGCACAAAGCACACGCAUCCCCUCUGAUACACACUGUGCACAGAGACACACACAACAAACACACAGACACACACAACAAACACACAGACACACACAACAUACAUAG